UGGGGAAUUUUGCGCAAUGGGGGAAACCCUGACGCAGCAACGCCGCGUGGAGGAUGAAAUCCCCUGGGAUGUAAACUCCUUUCGAUCGGGAAGAUAAUGACGGUACCGAGAGAAGAAGCCCCGGCUAACUUCGUGCCAGCAGCCGCGGUAAUACGAGGGGGGCAAGCGUUGUUCGGAAUUAUUGGGCGUAAAGGGUGCGUAGGCGGUUUGAUAAGUCUUGUGUGAAAUCUCUGGGCUCAACCCAGAGUCUGCACAGGAAACUGUCGGGCUUGAGUAUGGGAGAGGUGAGUGGAAUUUCCGGUGUAGCGGUGAAAUGCGUAGAUAUCGGAAGGAACACCUGUGGCGAAAGCGGCUCACUGGACCAUAACUGACGCUGAUGCACGAAAGCUAGGGGAGCAAACA
rnacentral:rRNA from 1 species